rnacentral:rRNA from 1 species
ACAAGAUAUUUAAGAGUAGAUGGUGGAUGCCUUGGGUAGUAGAGGCGAUGAAGGACGUACUAGACUGCGAUAAGCUGCGUGGAGCUGUCAAGAAGCUUUGAGGCGCAGAUGUCCGAAUGGGGCAACCCAACUUGCAGCAAUGUAAGUUACUCUAUUUAGAGAGCGAACCUAGCGAAGUGAAACAUCUCAGUAGCUAGAGGAAAAGAAAUCAACGAGAUUCCCUCAGUAGUGGCGAGCGAAAGGGGAAAAGGGCAAACCGAGUGCUUGCACUCGGGGUUGAGGACGACAACAUUCAAGGGGUCUAUCUAGCAGAGUUGCUUGGAAAAGCAAGCCAUAGAAGGUGAUAGCCCUGUAUGCGAAAGAUACACCCUAGAUAGUCGGAUCCAGAGUAGGCCAGGACACGUGAAAUCCGGGCUGAAGCCGGGGAGACCACUCUCCAACCCUAAAUACUACUACUACACCGAUAGCGCACAAGUACCGUGAGGGAAAGGUGAAAAGAACCGUGGGUAACGGAGUGAAAUAGAACCUGAAACCAUCUACUUACAAUCAUUCAGAGCCCUAUGAUUUAUCAGGGUGAUGGACUGCCUUUUGCAUAAUGAUCCUGCGAGUUGUGGUGUCUGGCAAGGUUAAGUGAAAACGAGCCGUAGCGAAAGCGAGUCUGAAUAGGGCGCUUUAGUCAGACGCUGCAGACCCGAAGCCAAGUGAUCUAUCCAUGGCCAAGUUGAAACGAGUGUAACAGCUUGUGGAGGACUGAACCCGUGCCCAUUGAAACGGGCUGGGAUGAGCUGUGGAUAGGGGUGAAAGGCCAAACAAACUUGGUGAUAGCUGGUUCUCUUCGAAAUAUAUUUAGGUAUAGCCUCAAGUCAUAACAAGAGGGGGUAGAGCUCUGAUUGGGCUAGGGCUGCUCGCCGCAGUACCAAACCCUGUCAAACUGCGAAUACCUUUUGUUGUAUCUUGGGAGUCAGGCGGUGGGUGAUAAAAUCAAUCGUCAAGAGGGAAACAACCCAGACUACCAACUAAGGUCCCCAAGUUCUAUUCUGAGUGGAAAAAGAUGUGUGGUUACUCAAACAACCAGGAGGUUGGCUUAGAAGCAGCCAUCCUUUAAAGAAAGCGUAACAGCUCACUGGUCUAGUGAUCAUGCGCUGAAAAUAUAACGGGGCUAAGAUAGACACCGAAGUUGUAGAUUGCUCUUUUAGAGCAGUGGUAGAAGAGCGUUCUGUGCAGCGUUGAAGGCAUACCGGUAAGGAGUGUUGGAGCGCACAGAAGUGAGCAUGCAGGAAUGAGUAGCGAUAAGAUACGUAAGAAUCGUAUCCGCCGUAAAUCUAAGGUUUCCUACGCGAUGUUCGUCAUCGUAGGGUUAGUCGGGUCCUAAGCCAAGUCCGAAAGGGGUAGGCGAUGGCAAAUGGGUUAAUAUUCCCAUACCAAUUGCAACGCGCGAUGGGAGGACGCAUAAAGUUAGGUGAGCUAGCUGAUGGAAAUGCUAGUCGAAGGGUGUAGAUUGGGAGAGAGGCAAAUCCGCUCCUGUAUUUGAAACCUGACAGGCUCUUUGAGGUCUUCGGAUCAAGAAGAGAAUCACUGAUACUAUCGUGCCAAGAAAAGUCUCUAAGUUUAGUUGCAAUUGUCCGUACCGCAAACCGACACAGGUAGAUGAGAUGAGUAUUCUAAGGCGCGUGGAAGAACUCUCUUUAAGGAACUCUGCAAACUAGCACCGUAAGUUCGCGAUAAGGUGUGCCUGCUGCAAAGUAGGUCUCAGCAAAGAGUCCCUCCCGACUGUUUACCAAAAACACAGCACUUUGCCAACUCGUAAGAGGAAGUAUAAGGUGUGACGCCUGCCCGGUGCUCGAAGGUUAAGAGGAUGGGUUAGCUCGCAAGAGCGAAGCUUUGAAUUGAAGCCCGAGUAAACGGCGGCCGUAACUAUAACGGUCCUAAGGUAGCGAAAUUCCUUGUCGGUUAAAUACCGACCUGCAUGAAUGGCGUAACGAGAUGGGAGCUGUCUCAAAGAGAGAUCCAGUGAAAUUGUAGUGGAGGUGAAAAUUCCUCCUACCCGCAGCAAGACGGAAAGACCCCGUGGACCUUUACUACAGCUUAGCACUGCUAAUGGGAAUGCCAUGCGCAGGAUAGGUGGGAGGCUUUGAAGCAAGAGCUUUGGCUCUUGUGGAGCCAUCCUUGAGAUACCACCCUUGGCGUUUUUGUUAGCUAACUGGCUUAUGUUAUCCAUAAGCAGGACAAUGCUUGGUGGGUAGUUUGACUGGGGCGGUCGCCUCCUAAAAAGUAACGGAGGCUUACAAAGGUUAGCUCAUGGCGGUUGGAAAUCGCCAGUUGAGUGUAAUGGCACAAGCUAGCUUAACUGCAAGAGAGACAACUCAAGCAGAGACGAAAGUCGGUCAUAGUGAUCCGGUGGUUCUCGUGUGGGAGAGCCAUCGCUCAAAGGAUAAAAGGUACCCCGGGGAUAACAGGCUGAUCUCCCCCAAGAGCUCACAUCGACGGGGAGGUUUGGCACCUCGAUGUCGGCUCAUCGCAUCCUGGGGCUGGAGCAGGUCCCAAGGGUAUGGCUGUUCGCCAUUUAAAGCGGUACGCGAGCUGGGUUCAGAACGUCGUGAGACAGUUCGGUCCCUAUCUGCUGUGGGCGUAGGAAAGCUGAGGAGAGCUGUCCCUAGUACGAGAGGACCGGGAUGGACAUGCCACUGGUGCACCAGUUGUUCUGCCAAGAGCACCGCUGGGUAGCUACGCAUGGUUGUGAUAAGAGCUGAAAGCAUCUAAGCUCGAAGCCAACUCCAAGAUAAGCUUUCCCUGAAGCUCGCAUGAAGACUACAUGUUUGAUAGGGUGGGUGUGUAAGUGCAGUAAUGCACUCAGCUAACCACUACUAAUAGAGCGUUUGGCUUGUUUGG